rnacentral:rRNA from 1 species
UACGAAGGGGGCUAGCGUUGCUCGGAAUCACUGGGCGUAAAGCGCACGUAGGCGGCUUUUUAAGUCAGGGGUGAAAUCCUGGAGCUCAACUCCAGAACUGCCUUUGAUACUGAGAAGCUUGAGUCCGGGAGAGGUGAGUGGAACUGCGAGUGUAGAGGUGAAAUUCGUAGAUAUUCGCAAGAACACCAGUGGCGAAGGCGGCUCACUGGCCCGGUACUGACGCUGAGGCACGAAAGCGUGGGGAGCAAACAGGG